GCCGCGGUAGCUCAGUUGGCAGAGCGCCGGGCUGUUAAGCCCGGUUUGCUACAGAAACCCGGUGGUCGGAGGUUCGAGUCCUCCCCGCGGCGCCA
rnacentral:tRNA from 1 species